rnacentral:lncRNA from 1 species
UAAAUUAUAAUAAUAAUUUUAAAAUCUUGAAAUAUAUUCUAGAAAGAUUGAUUGGAUGGUUACAGCUGAAGAGUAUGUGUUAAAUAUAAAAAUAUAUAUAAAUAUCAUUCUCUAAUAGUUUAAGUUUUUAAAUACAACGAUUGUUUUACAUAGUAUCAGAGCAGGAAGUUCUGAGUUCGAGUUAUAUCAGGCUCCUAGUAUUAUUAAUUUACUACGAUUUAAUUCAAGCUCAUGUCAUGGGCUUUGUAAAAAAAGUUUCGAGUUCAGACGUGUUAUACUGGAUAAGCGUUUAUUAAAUUCUAGAAGGUAAAAUUUUUAGGUUAUUAUUGUGAGUAAUCCCAGUAAAGUUCAGGGCUCGAAUGAUUAUUGAAA